rnacentral:piRNA from 1 species
GAGAGCACGAGUCCAGAUGGAAGGACAGC